GAUGAACGCUGGCGGCGUGCCUAAUACAUGCAAGUCGAGCGAAUGGAUUAAGAGCUUGCUCUUAUGAAGUUAGCGGCGGACGGGUGAGUAACACGUGGGUAACCUGCCCAUAAGACUGGGAUAACUCCGGGAAACCGGGGCUAAUACCGGAUAACAUUUUGAACCGCAUGGUUCGAAAUUGAAAGGCGGCUUCGGCUGCCACUUAUGGAUGGACCCGCGUCGCAUUAGCUAGUUGGUGAGGUAACGGCUCACCAAGGCAACGAUGCGUAGCCGACCUGAGAGGGUGAUCGGCCACACUGGACUGAGACACGGCCCAGACUCCUACGGGGGGCAGCAGUAGGGAAUCUUCCGCAAUGGACGAAAGUCUGACGGAGCAACGCCGCGUGAGUGAUGAAGGCUUUCGGGUCGUAAAACUCUGUUGUUAGGGAAGAACAAGUGCUAGUUGAAUAAGCUGGCACCUUGACGGUACCUAACCAGAAAGCCACGGCUAACUACGUGCCAGCCGCCGCGGUAA
rnacentral:rRNA from 1 species